UGUGCCCGGUCCAUCCUGACCGCUGCUGCCAUACUGCAGCAAACAGGAGGGAACGGAGAGCACCCAGUAUAAGACGGUGGAGCGGGUGGUGCAGACUCUGAAGAACCUGUGCUGUGCUCUGGACGAGACGGAGACCCAGGCCAUCACUGAGGCCGUCAAAAGGCUGAAACACUCCGUCAACUUACCCCAGACACGCUCCCCCAAGAUGGGGUCCACAUCGUCUGGUCAAUCGUCAAAUGGUACGUACACACAGUCACACUCCACCUCCACUUAUUUAAUUUAAAUGUGAUUGUUGCAGCUUAUCAUGUCAA